AUACGAGGGGGGCAAGCGUUGUCCGGAAUUAUUGGGCGUAAAGAGUUCGUAGGCGGAUUGAUCAGUCGAGAUUGAAAUCCCCCGACUUAAUCGGGGAACUGGUCUUGAUACUGUCAAUCUUGAGUGAGGUAGAGGUAAGCGGAAUUCCUGGUGUAGCGGUGAAAUGCGUAGAUAUCAGGAGGAACACCAACGGCGAAGGCAGCUUACUGGGCCUAUACUGACGCUGAGGAACGAAAGCGUGGGGAGCAAACAGGAUUAGAAACCCUAGUAGUCC
rnacentral:rRNA from 1 species